UGGAUUGUUUUGGAUUCUGGAAGUCUAGAGGUAUUCAAUCAAGAUUUUAAAAAGUCUUUUAAAAUCUUGAGGUAUUCAAUUCAGAUUUUAAAAAGUUAAUAUAAAUCUAGUGGUAUUCAACAGUCCAACGAUUUUGAAGGAUUCUAUUAAGUGAUGGAUUGUGAAGGAUUUUAGAACCCUCGGUAUAAAUAGCAAACCCUUUCAGAAAUCUGCUCUCGAGAGUUGAGAUUUCGACGUCUUCCUUUUUUUUUUUUUUUUCCUCUCUCUCUCUCAUCGAGAAGAUGAAGAUACGAAUGGCAAUCUGGAGAAGACGAUCAGCCAUGUCCAGCUCUACCGCAGUCGACGGCGUCGUAGCUACUGCGGUCCGCUCAAUUUUCUACCCCGUCCAUCUCAGCCGAAAAAUCCAGUCAUCGCGCCGACGAGAUCUGAGUGGUGGCAGUGAGCAAGACGAAUCUGGCCGUUGUCCUCUACCAAGUAUAUGACGCCGGCCACCGCUGCUUCGGCGAGAACUACGUCCAUGAAAUCGUCGAGAAAGCUCCUCAAGUUUCUCUUUUGAGCAAGAUAAUUGAAAUAGGAUAUCAGAGUUGAUUAAUUGAGUGGAUCAAGGAUUGAGUGGAUAUCAGAGUCGUAAAUCUACAUGAUAACACACAUUGGAGUAUGUGGGGUGGCACCAGAAUGCUGCAACAGAGAACAAAUUCUAGAUCACCAUUUUAGAAGCUUCAGAUCUAACCCCUCCAUUAAUAAAGCCUCUAGUCGUUGAUGAGAUUAGAGUUAGGUUUAGAUAAUAUUAUUUUCAAUAAAACCUAUGACCUAACAUUUGCGGGUUGUUGUGAUUCAUUGUGAGAACUUUAUUGUCAUUCUUCCUCAUGUACCUUCAGAGCCAUAUUUGACUAAAGAGCUUACUACAAGUGUUACAAUGAUGGAGAUAUUUUAGUACUUAUGAGAGGAGUACUUUGUUUC